GAGGAAAAAGAAACAGAAUGUCACUAU
rnacentral:piRNA from 1 species